rnacentral:lncRNA from 1 species
CAGGCUGCCUUAGACAGGCAGAGCUGUGUAAAAACAAAAUAAAAUGGGAAAAUCUAAGAACUACUGUAAAAUGUAACCUGCUUUGUGCUUUCUUCCCCAGACUAGAAGAGACCUGUCUUAAGAAAGAUGGAGAUGGCCCCCAUCUUCCUUCCACAUGUUGCUCUGCCAAGGUUUUCUCAUUCUGAUCAACAUCUCAAAGCUUGGGCUCGGUCUGCCAAUAUCUUCUGCCUCAUGAGUGAUGGCACUGCAGAGUGUGGAAUGGAUCACAAUCAAAAAGCUGGUCUGUACAAGCGUUUUAAGGUAAUUUGGCCAGCAAAAGCUGCUGCUCAAGAACAUUUGAGAAACACCAUCUCCGAUUGAUGUGCCUUGCCAGACAGGCUCAGCAAAUGACUUUCCCUGGUGCUAUUUUAAAAGUCUUUAGUAGAGUUGUGCAAUUCACACUAAUUCUGAAGAAGUCUCUUGGAACAUGCCAAAGAUAAAGCGUGCAUUUUCAAGACUGCAACAUUUUCCAGGUAAUUUGGGUUAUAAGAAAACGGUUACCUGAUCACGUCCAAUCUGAGUUCAAACAGAGUAUGGUACACCAGAUCUUAAAAUGGGGCAGAUUUUUGUGUUAUGAUAAAUGACUUUACAGAUGCACGGAAAUUCAAAACUUAAAUCAACUUUUCUAGCAUGGUGGGGAGAGUAGUGAAAAAAUAGCUUUACACCCUACUCAUCAAGGUUAUGGCAUACACUAAUUAUGUAAAGUGUGAUUUAUCUGCUGUCUUGCAUAUGUUCCUUUGGGGAUUGAGAUCCAGGUUGAAGAGAGAGAAGAGCUGAAAUGUUGUUUUCUGAGAUAGUGUUCUAUUUUUUGAAAUGUGAUAUAUAUAGCAGAUUUCAGCUGUAAAUAUGUAACAAUAGCAACAGCACUCUUGAGCUAACUGUUUACACCAUUGUGGAAAACAGAACUUCUGCCAUUUAUCACUCAGCUUGAACCAAUACUUUUACAGUUCAGAGUUUGUGUUUGUAGCAAGCCUUUUCUGGCUUUAAUUGUCAAAGAUUUUAUUUCUGAUCAAAGCGAUACAAAAUGAGCCACACUGAACUUAGACAAUAUAUCACUACUAAAACUGGUUUCCAGAUAGCUCAUUUUCAUUUUCUGUAAAUCAAUUUAGAGUGGUUAGUCUUAUUGUGUGGUUUGUAUGAUUGCAAGAGAAUUUAAAAGCAAACUUCGACACUUAGCAAAUUCAUGGAAAUCCAAUGACAGACUUACUGAGCUAAAUGCAGCUAGAGAAUGUUGAACAUGGGAGACUUCAGUCUAACGUAGCAUAGCUGGCAGCCUUUGUUUCAUGAUUCAUCUUAAUAAUUGCCAUGUAAAAUUAGGAGUUUUAAUCCGCCUGUAAAGGACACCUUCCCAGCAUUUGAUGUUCUCUUCUAAAGCAGUAUCAGUUAAUACAACAGGGUGCAAUCUCAACUGCAGUGGAGAAUCACUAAAAUACUGGCUCAAGUCAGCGAGUGCUACCAUGCAGAAGGAAAUGUUUUGGACUUGCAUUGCAAUUAAAUGGAGAAGUCCUAUGAGCCUUCAGAGUUGCUAAAAUUGAUUGGAGUAUAUAUUUUUUUUAAAUAUUCCUCUGAUGCAUCUUUAGUCUAAAUGUAAAGCUCUAACUUCAACUCAGAGGGCUGUAGUCUGCCAUGAACUCUCUGCACGUUAUCUUACAUGUGUCAAGUGGCAAAAGCAUAAGGCUUGCUUACAUCAGCCUAAAUGAAAGUAAUUUAGGUUGAAUGUUUGGCUGAUGCUUCAGUUUCAAUAUCCACAUAAUGGUGUAUGCAAAUGCCUGCUUACAAAUUCAGAGCUCUCCCAAAUGCACAAGGCAUACGUUUUUUGUAUGGGCAAUACUGGAUUGUCUCAAUUACCAGUUCCAAAAUUCCCACUAAAACUGUGUCAAAAAAUGUUUCUUUGAAUUAAAACAGAGGCUUCAACCUUGCAGUGCUUUUAAAAGGCAAUCCUACGCAUAAUCCACAAGGUAGCUUGGACAUAGCCUCAGAUAUGAAUUUUAAUUAGUUUUCCUUCUCAUAUAUGGUCAGUAUCAUAACUAACACUCUGCAUAUGUAUUCAUUCCAUCAGGUUGGAUUCAGCUGGAGGAGUGUUUACAAUUAUUGUAAGCAACCAUAUUUUACCCUUUCAUAGGCUGGGACUGUAGCAUGAAAAGGAUGUUAAACCCUGCUUUAAAACAAAGCAUUACGUGGUUGCUGCUAUUUUUCCCAGAGCUCUUUGAACACCUUUUCCUACCAAAAUCAGUUCUUUUAAAAAGAGAGGGUAAAGACUUAUUGGAGAGUACAGAAAAUAAAUUAACCCUGAUUGGAGUACA